rnacentral:rRNA from 1 species
AUUGAACGCUGGCGGCAGGCCUAACACAUGCAAGUCGAGCGGAGCGGCGGACGGGUGAGUAAUGCCUAGGAAUCUGCCUGGAAGUGGGGGAUAACGUCCGGAAACGGGCGCUAAUACCGCAUACUAGCAGAUGAGCCUAGGUCGGAUUAGCUAGUUGUUGGGGUAAAGGCCUACCAAGGCGACGAUCAGUAACUGGUCUGAGUGGAUGAUCAGUCACACUGGAACUGAGACACGGGCCAGACGCCAACGCGAGGCAGCAGUGUGUGAUUGGGGCCAAUGGUCGAAACCCUGAUCCAGCCAUGCCGCGUGUGUGAAGACGGUCUUCGGAUUGUAAAGCACUUUAGGUUGGGAGGCGUUACCAACAGAAUAAGCACCGGCUAACUUCGUGCCAGCAGCCGCGGUAAUAC